CCCUGUUGGUUGCUCCUGUUGGUUGCUCCUGUUGGUCAGCCCUGUUGGUUGCUCCUGUUGGUUGCUCCUGUUGGUCAGCCCUGUUGGUUGCUCCUGUUGGUCAGCCCUGUUGGUCAGCCCUGUACAGAUCUCGCGCUUGCCCAGUUGCGCCUUUUUCCCCAGUCGUCCAUGUACUGAGAUUGCACAUGCCCGGUAUCCAAACAUGCAUGAGAUGCGGCCACCAGUCUAGUGUGUGUAGCUAGCUACCUAGUUUAUAAUUUCAACAGUGUUGCCACAGCAGUAUAACAUUUGAUUAACCCUUGAGUUACAUCAUCAAUAUUCAGUCUAGUUGGUGUAACCGGUGUGAAAUGGCUAGCUAGUUAGCGGGGUGCGCACUAAUAGCGCUUCAAUUGGUGACAUCACUCGCUCUGAGACCUUGAAGUAAUUGUUUCCCCGCGGCUUUGUGGAGCGAUGAGUAACGGUGCUUUGAGGGUGACUGUUGUCGAUUGGUGCAGAGGGUCCCUGGUUCGAGGCCAGGUAGGGACGUGGAGAGGGACGGAAGGAACACUGUUACCCCUGGUUCGAGGCCAGGUAGGGGCGAGGUAGGGGCGAGGAGAGGGACGGAAGGAACACUGUUACCCCUGGUUCGAGGCCAGGUAGGGGCGAGGUAGGGGCGAGGAGAGGGACGGAAGGAACACUGUUACCCCUGGUUCGAGGCCAGGUAGGGGCGAGGUAGGGGCGAGGAGAGGGACGGAAGGAACACAUUGGCAGAGCACAGAGAGAGGAGUGGCUACAUCAACGACUCCAUCCCUUCCUCAGUUGGCAGCAGCGUCACAGGUAGUAGUCUAGGCUCGCAACAAGCUCUCCCAGUCUCACUGCAGAAUCAGAUGUUUAUUUACAUUGAUCUAAACGUCACAUUUCGAAGUUGCUCCAAACGACACAUUUCAAAGUACUUUUUACACUCUGGGUUUACUCCACAUGCUAGGUAUCGUUCUAUUUCUCCAAACAUCACAUUUCGAAAUUGCUCCAAACGUCAAAUUUAGAAGAUUAACGGUUAAGGUUUUGGAUCGGGUUAAAACAUUGUUUAGACACUCAUUCUGAAUGGUUAAGCUAAGGGUUAAGGUUAGACACUCAUUCUGAAUGGUUAAGCUAAGGGUUAAGGUUAGACACUCAUUCUGAAUGGUUAAGCUAAGGGUUAAGGUUAGACACUCAUUCUGAAUGGUUAAGCUAAGGGUUAAGGUUAGACACUCAUUCUGAUUGGUUAAGCUAAGGGUUAAGGUUAGACACUCAUUCUGAUUGGUUAAGCUAAGGGUUAAGGUUAGACACUCAUUCUGAUUGGUUAAGCUAAGGGUUAAGGUUAGACACUCAUUCUGAAUGGUUAAGCUAAGGGUUAAGGUUAGACACUCAUUCUGAAUGGUUAAGCUAAGGGUUAAGGUUAGACACUCAUUCUGAAUGGUUAAGCUAAGGGUUAAGGUUAGACACUCAUUCUGAAUGGUUAAGCUAAGGGUUAAGGUUAGACACUCAUUCUGAUUGGUUAAGGUAAGGGUUAAGGUUAGACACUCAUUCUGAAUGGUUAAGCUAAGGGUUAAGGUUAGACACUCAUUCUGAAUGGUUAAGCUAAGGGUUAAGGUUAGACACUCAUUCUGAAUGGUUAAGCUAAGGGUUAAGGUUAGACACUCAUUCUGAAUGGUUAAGCUAAGGGUUAAGGUUAGACACUCAUUCUGAAUGGUUAAGCUAAGGGUUAAGGUUAGACACUCAUUCUGAUUGGUUAAGGUAAGGGUUAAGGUUAGACACUCAUUCUGAUUGGUUAAGGUAAGGGUUAAGGUUUGGAUAGGGUUCAAAUAAAACACAAGUGUCCUCCUCACAACCUUCUGAUCCAGAGUCAUGAGAUUAAGACUCUAGUUAACCACCAGGUGAUACUAAAAUAUCCACACAAGCCAAUAGCCAGCCAACCAUAUAUCUUGAGUUAGAGGAUGAUGAGGUUCAUAUCAUGAAGUUAUUAUUUAAGAGCAUUUAAGAUAAAUCACAAUCAAUAAAAACAAAUAUUGCUAACUGACUAGCAGAUUUACAUCAAUCAUCAACAUGAAUGAUCAGCUAAUAGCCCUCCUUUUCCCCACGUCUUUAGGAGGCACUGUAACUAACUAGCAGAUUUACAUCAAUCAUCAACCUGAAUGAUCAGCUGAUAGCCCUCCUUUUCCCCACGUCUUUAGGAGGCACUGUAACUAACUAGCAGAUUUACAUCAAUCAUCAACCUGAAUGAUCAGCUGAUAGCCCUCCUUUUCCCCACGUCUUUAGGAGGCACUGUAAAUAACUAGCUUUCAUGUUGUGAUGAUUGAGUGUGUUGUUGCAGAAUUAAAAGGGUCUCUGCUAAAACAAAUAAAAAAUGUCGCUGUUCUGAAUUUCGAGAUAUGAAUUAUUUUAAGCAUCGGCCCCCUGAAAGGUCUGUGCACGGCCCUGACCCCUUAACACAAAGUACUUUACAGCCUCUCCCUUAAGCAUCGGCCCCCUGAAAGGUCUGUGCACGGCCCUGACCCCUUAACACAAAGUACUUUACAGCCUCUCCCUCCCCCCAACACCGGCCCCAGUGAAACUACCCCCACCCCAGCAUUACCCUGUGUAGCUUAACACCACAGGGCCCCCCUGUGGCAGCCACUGGUUGGUCAUCACCACAACACCAUAGUACUUUGACCUCUUCAGGCUCAAAGGCAACACUCACUCACCCUCAUUCUGCUUCCUCUUCUCUGCUAAAUGGGCCCAUUUCAUGUUAGUUAAACAUACCAUGCUAUACUAAAGCACUUGUAGACUGUAUUUGUAGAUUGCCUUCAGGGUAAGAAAAACAGUUCCUUUGGGUGAACUAUCCCUCAUCUAGGUAAAGAAGGUUAUUAUUGUGACCAGCUACAACAUGUUUCAUACAUAUUACCAUGUUGUUACUACAUGUUCUGUGAUCUAAUGAAAUAUGCUGCUGAUACAUUUCAGGGUUGUGUGUGAGUACGUGUGUGUUUGAUUC